UACGUAGGGUGCAAGCGUUGUCCGGAAUUAUUGGGCGUAAAGAGCUCGUAGGCGGUCUGUCGCGUCGGCUGUGAAAUCCCGGAGCUCAACUCCGGGUCUGCAGUCGAUACGGGCAAACUGGAGUACUGCAGGGGAGACUGGAAUUCCUGGUGUAGCGGUGAAAUGCGCAGAUAUCAGGAGGAACCCCGGUGGCGAAGGCGGGUCUCUGGGCAGUAACUGACGCUGAGGAGCGAAAGCGUGGGGAGCGAACAGG
rnacentral:rRNA from 1 species